rnacentral:rRNA from 1 species
ACCUUGUGCACCUUUUGUAGACCUGGAUAUCUCUCUGAAUGCACACAAGCAUUUGGGUUUGAGGGGUUGACUUUUUGGUCUCCCUUUAUAUUUCCAGGCCUAUGUUUCUUUCAUAUACCCCACUUGUGUUAUAGAAUGUAAUAAAUGGGCCUUUGUGCCUGUAAAGCUAUACAACUUUCAGCAACGGAUCUCUUGGCUCUCGCAUCGAUGAAGAACGCAGCGAAAUGCGAUAAGUAAUGUGAAUUGCAGAAUUCAGUGAAUCAUCGAAUCUUUGAACGCACCUUGCGCUCCUUGGUAUUCCGAGGAGCAUGCCUGUUUGAGUGUCAUUAAUAUAUCAACCUCCUCAACUUGUGUUGAGUGGUUUGGAUGUGGGGGUUUGCUGGCCUUUCAAAAGGUUUCAGCUCCUCUGAAAUGCAUUAGCAGAACAAACCUUGUUCAUUGGUGUGAUAACUAUCUACGCUUAUGAAUGUGAGGGGCAGUUCAGCUUUCUAAUCGUCUUUGGACAAUUCAUCAUUAAUGUGAC